CCGCAGCGGCCGAGCUGUGGCUACGUGCUGUGCACCGUGCUACUGUCCCUGGCCGUGCUGCUGGCUGUGGCUGUCACCGGCGCCGUGCUCUUCCUGAACCACGCCCACACGCCUGGCACGGCGCCCCCGCCCAUCGUCAGCACUGGGUCGGCCGGUGCCAACAGCGCCCUGGUCACCGUGGACAGGGCCGACAGCUCGCGCCUCAGCAUCCUCAUCGACCCGCGCUGCCCAGACCUCACCGACGGUUUCGCCCGCCUGGAGGGCGCCCAGGCCUCCGUGCUGCAGGCACUGAGCCAGCGCCAGGCUGAGCCUGGGCUGGUGGGCGAACAAGAGCAGGAGCUGCUGGACACCCUGGCUGACCAGCCCCCCCGGCUGCUGGCCCGGGCCUCGGAGCUGCAGACAGAGUGUGCGGGGCUGCGGAAGGGGCACAGCACGCUGGGCCAGGGGCUCAGUUCCCUGCAGAGCGAGCAGGGCCGCCUCAUCCAGCUGCUCUCUGAGAGCCAAGGCCACAUGGUUCACCUGGUGAACUCCGUCAGUGAUGUCCUGGACGCUCUGCAGAGGGACCGGGGGCUGGGCCGGCCCCACGUCAAGGCUGAUCUUCAGAGGGCACCUGCCAGGGGGUCGAGACCCCGGGGCUGUGCCAAUGGCUCCCGGCCCCGAGACUGUCUGGACGUCCUCCUGAGCGGCCAGCAGGAGGACGGUGUUUACUCCGUCUUCCCCACACACGACCCCGCCGGCUUCCAGGUCUACUGCGACAUGAGCACCGACGGCGGCGGCUGGACGGUGUUCCAGCGCCGGGAGGACGGCUCCGUGAACUUCUUCCGAGGCUGGGAGGCGUACCGGGACGGCUUCGGCAAGCUCACGGGGGAGCACUGGCUAGGUCUCAAGAGGCUCCAUGCCCUGACCACACAGGCGGCCUAUGAGCUGCACGUGGAUCUGGAGGACUUUGACAAUGGCACAGCCUACGCCCACUACAGGAGCUUUGGUGUGGGUUUGUUCUCCGUGGACCCUGAGGAAGACGGGUACCCGCUCACCGUGGCCGACUACUCGGGCACUGCAGGGGACUCCCUUCUGAAGCACAGUGGCAUGAGGUUCACUACCAAGGACCGCGACAGUGACCAUUCGGAGAACAACUGCGCCGCCUUCUACCGUGGGGCCUGGUGGUACCGCAACUGCCACACAUCCAACCUCAACGGGCAGUACCUGCGCGGUGCGCACGCCUCUUACGCCGACGGCGUCGAGUGGUCCUCCUGGACUGGCUGGCAGUACUCGCUCAAGUUCUCCGAGAUGAAGAUCCGGCCGGUCCGUGAGGACCGCUAGACGGCGCCCCGUCCGGCCCCGCCCACAGCCCCGCCCCUCACCGUCAGUCCCCUGCCACCCCCACCCACCGUCCCCACGCCCACCUCCAAUUCCGCUUCUGCUCAGAUGCCCGCCUGCCGGCACAGGAUUCUGACCACCCCAAAUUCUACCUGCCCAGUCUUUGGCUCCUGGGCUGUGUUUACCCUCCCUGGGCCACGAGCCUGCCAUGUGCCCCUGGCAGCCCCUCUGCUCUGCCAGUCCAAACACCUGGAGCAACGGGCACACAGAGGAGAGAGGCACAUGGCACCCCUGGAGCCCUUUAGCAGACCUUUCUGAGUCGGGCCUGAGCCCCCAACCCCCUCUAACGCCGGGAGGUCCCACCCCUCUUCCAGGGACUGUGGACGGGCUGGUGCUCAGGCCUGCCUGUGGCCAGGACCUGGGUGGUCCCAUCCUACCACGCCCCUAGGUCAGGCUGGGGUGCAGCUGCCUUCGGGAAGUCACACCCCGAGGUGACCGAGACCAGUUCCCUGGAGCCCUUCCUACCCAUCCACCCGUGUCUCUGCAGGUCCGGGAGGUCCCCAGUCCCCUUGGCUGCAACACCCCGCCUCCCGCCUUCUCAGGGCAGCUGGAGACCCACCCCACCCCCUUCUCCGGCCUGUGGGAAGUCCGGGCAGGUCCUGCACCCUUGGUCUGGGCUGGGCCCAUGCAGACCUCUUGGUUUUCUGGGCUUCGGUGGGGCCUGUACCACCCCCUACUCCGGGAUCCUGGGCACUCCUAGGGGCUGGCCCAGAGGAGCUAGAGGCUGUUGGCUCGGAAACUGCUGUCUCAUGGGGAGGCCGCCCCCUGCUGGUGAUUGUGGGUGUUGCCGCCUCGGGUCACUGGGCAAAUGGGGGAGGCGGAGGCCCCCACUGGGAACUCAGAGACAUCUUCCACUGAGCCCUCUCAAUGCCCAGUGUCCUAUGACUGCACUCCCCCCAGCCCCGCAAGGACCAUGGGUUCCCAAGGUCAGUGCCAGGAAGGGCAGGACUGGGACUCCAGCCUUCAACCCCCUGCCCAACAGCCUUGGGGCUCUUUUUCCAAAUUCCCGCCUGUCGGGACCUGAGGGGGCCAUUUAGAGGGCCAGGAAGUCAACCUGCAGAGCUGCUCAGAGAGUGGGCAGUCCAGCGAAACCCCUCCUCAGGCAGGGGUGGUUCCUUUUUAGGGCACUUGAAGGCAGUUCUCAAGGCACUUCAGCUCUCCCUACCCCCGCCCCCCACCGAGGCUUGUGCUUCAUUAAUAAUACAUCGGAGUUGGCUGGGACAGUGGGAAAGGCCCCUGGUGCCACUGACUGGCCAUGCGCCCUGGCCGGCCCCAGUUCCACCUGGUCGUCGGUGCUCAGCAAGAUUUGCUGGACAUCGGCUGUGGGCCAAGGCUGUCGUCUCUGGGUGCUGGACCAGACCCAGCCCCUGCCCUCUAGGCACGCAGCUGGACUCAGGGACAGCCAAGAAGCAGGUGAUUCCAGGCCAGUGUGACCAGGGUAGUGAGGGGGGUGGCACAGGUGCAAGCGGGGUGGGGGCAGCGUGGCAGAGGUGUGUGAGACGAUCACACGCACCCCCCCACCCCACUGGCCCCUUUCCCAUCCUCAAGAAACCAAAAGAGCCCGUCCCCCCCGCCCCGGGGUUCCUGGGACCCCCAGCCAAGAAGCAGAGUCUGCGUGGGGCCUUAGCCAUCAUCCCCCGGGGCCCCCUCCUCCUCCAGCUCCAGGCUGGGGCCAGUUUCUGCUGCCAGCCUCGAAGUGCCAGCCACUGUUUAGAAAGUGCCAAGAGCUUUCUGAUCUGUCAUCAAACAAACUCCUGGUGCGCGUGAUGUUAAUUCACAGAUGUGCGUGUGUGUCAGGAGGCUCAGGGGCGCUCGUGCCAGGGCUUGGCCGAGGAACAGACACGCCACAGCUUGGGCCUGGUGGGGGGGCUGGGCCAGGGCGGCUUUCAGGAGCGUCUGGCUGACCUGGAGACACUGGUUCCUUCCUGCUGGAGAGCACCAGCCCCACUCCCAGCCCAGGCCUGGCACCACUAGGGGACACUGCCAGACCACACGCUGGCUGAAUGGGCACAAAGCCCAUCACAGCGGACAGCCAAGGCCAGUCCACCCUCCUUCCUAAAGGGCACACCGGCUCUGGGCCAGGAGGCUGAGGUGAGCGAGACAGGCCUGGGCUCUGGCGUCGAGGAGCCCACCGUGUGAUGUCAGCGCAGAGGAGUGAGCGCAGAAGGAAGGGGUGCUGGGAGAGCCAGUGAGGGGACGCCGAGACCUGACAGAUGCAUGCGAAGCUCACCCAGGACCCAUGGUUCCUGCACCCAAACCCUGAUGCACAAUGCCCAAGUUGAUGGCCAUGGUGGGGUACCUGUGACCCAGCUACCCCACUUGACCUCACCCCCUUUUCCUUCCUUCUCCCCCGAGACAGCCAAGCAGGGGAGUGGGCGGGCUCUCCACACUGGGGCCUGGAGACAACGUGGACCCCCUAAAGCUUCUGAACAUUCCUUCCAGCAAGCACAGUUGGGUUCCGUGCAGUCAGCCACUGGCCUCACUCCUGGCCCCUCAAACUCUGGAUACAUCUCUGGGACACCACCAGGGGGCCGCCUCGAGCCCAGAGGAUGGACGGACCCUGGCUGUACCCCCCGCAACGGCCUCCACACCCACAGUGUGUGGGAGAACCGCAGCCUGUUCUCAAGUGGCGUUUCCCCCUGCUGCCGUAUGUACAUAGGUGUCAUUAUACUGUUUGUCUUGGGGCAGAAGCCAUGUCAGUGUCACCAGUGCCCACCUUCCCCCCAUCCCCACGGGCACCCACGCAGGCCUCUGGCCAUCCUGGCUGGGGCUGGAGCCCUGGACGCUGGGGGCCCCCGCACCCAGGAUUCAGGGGAUUGGGAAGGUGCCAGGAACCACCCGUGGCAUCUGCUCCAGCAGAAGGGGGGCAGGUGGGGAGACCAGAGGGGCUGGGGCCCCGUCAGCGCAGACCUCUUACCUGGGGCAUCUGGGGAGCAGCGUUCCAAGGGAAGACAGGUGGGGGGACGCACAGGAUGGAGGGCGCUGGCCGGGGCAGAGGGCUCUUCCCAGCCCCAAGGGGGCCGAGCAGCUGGCAGGACUUGGCAACCCGGAGGGCUGACGCUGGACCUCGGUGGGUUUGGGGGAGACGGGGAGGGGGCUGGGCCCUGACCUGAGGCUGGCCACCUGAGCCCUGCUGUGCUGUCCACACCAGCUGGUGGUGGGGGCUGGGGGCACCGGGGGCCAGGGAGGGAGCUGGCAGCUUAUGACUGAGAGUGUGGCACGGGACAGGUGCUCGUGUGGCCGGUGUGUGUGGGGCCUCGUCGUGUGUGUUCUGCCUCCAAUAAAAAGUUUCAUGGUGA
ensembl:lncRNA